CCCAGUACCGUAACUUAUAAUCUCAGAUCAUGGAAGAGCAUUCUCUAAUGAGCUUUCUAAAGCCAAGAGCUCUACCCAGUUGCUGGGUAAAGGGGGGAACAUGGAGAAUUAGAAUGUUUACAUUGUAACUGAUUUAUGUACACUAUAUUUGCAUGUAAGUGUACUAAAAUAUUUUUUAAAAUUACCAGCCAUUAAAAAUGUGUUUGCUAAUGGGGAUAAGAAUGCUGGAUACAAUGAGGUAAGCUUUGUUUAAAAGGAUUUAGGAGACUCACAAUUCAUAAUCAAUAUUUCAACACACUCGUCUGCAUUUUUAGGGCAAUAGAUCUGUAAGUAGAAACAGGCGUAUUUGAAGAAAAACAUUAGUUUCUGAGAUCUGGCCAGCUCCUGUUCUUACCACUCUGUCAUCUCUGAUUGGAUUAGACGUCACAGAAAGGGCCUCAGAUCCUUGUUUCACGUUAAGUUUAACCACUCCAGUUGAAUACCAUCCUUGUGGAGCUCAGUGGAGAGAAAUUAAAUUUCUAUCACCAGAAGUAUGGCACUGAAUCAGGUAUCAAGGGGGCUACAUCAGUAAACUUCGUUGGCUACAAGAUGUAUGUCCUUCCUGAGGCUCUGUAGCUGUUAAGUUGGCUCUUUCCAAUCACAGUCUGAUCUUUCAUUUUCCCGUAAUGCAGUUAGACAACCUAGUUAUUCAGGCAUAGACUUCUCUGUUUUUCAUUAUCCCUGAAUAACAUUUGAUGCUGAAAUAGGGAAGACGGGAAGGACGGGGGAGGGGAGCCAAGCAUUUUUCACAGCUUGUGUGAAAUGCUUAAUAUUUGAACGUCUUUAAAAUAUACUGUACACAUACAUUCCAAUUUUAUAAGACUAACAUAACAUGUUCAAAAGUUUUAUGAAUUUCAGCAUGUAACCAGAGUAAACGUUAGCCUGUUUUAAAUAAGCCAUAAUGGCCUGGCAACAAACCUGCAUAGUUAGCAAAUCCCUCCUCUGUUUAUGGGCAGCCAUUCCUCACCAGGUCACUACAAAAUACAAGUUUUAUCAGUUUCUGUGGACUCCGUCUGGCUCAUACUCCUUUGGGGAGAUCUGGGGGCCUGUCUCCAUCUCCACGGAAACAGAACCUGUAACCUUCCCAGAAUCAGGUUACCCUAGAGGGCAGUGACAUUUAUAUCUGCUUUUUUGUUUGUUCGUUGUUCUCUUUCCUAAGACAUUUUUUUAUUAGCAAACUAGCUACAAAAUGCUGAAAAUCAAGUUAAAGUUAAUACAUAUAAGAUCAUCAUAAAUGAUUGCACAUGUACACAGAUAAUUAUUACUUUCAUUUGUUUUAUUAUUUUAAUCUACAAACUUUGAGCUCUUUAAAAGUGGAGAUUAGAUGUUAUGUCGCCAGACCCUUAACUUCGCACUUGGCAUAAUAUAAAUACUUGAUUAAUAUUUAUUGAAUUAAGAUGAAAAUGAAGAGAAAAUUUAAUUACCCAGUCUACUUUUUUUUUUUCUAUCUCAGUAGUUAAGUGCAGAGAAAAAGGAGGUCAUAUAAAAAUGAUGAAAAAAUAGUACCUUAGAACCAUUUUUAUGGUGUAUCAGUGCAUUUUUUGUGCUAAGUCAGACCUUCUUAGCCCUGAAAGCUGCAGGCCAAGCCUUAAUGGGCCUCUUUUUCCCAGCAACCUGCCGUCCUCAACCCUUUCUCUGGAUCUCACUUUUCCUCAUGGGCCAGCCUGAAUUGAGCCUCAGGAUCGUCCUAGCUCUCAGGAUUCCUCCUGCUCCCAAACAUUCUCAUCUCUUUUCCUGGGAGGACCUUUCAGCCUUCCUAAAUAGCCUAAGGGAAGACGCGUAUCCCUUCAGGGAAGAAGGAAGCACUGGAACCAAUUAACUGAACCCCAGCCCAGGGCUCUUAGAACCCUUUCCCAAGGUGAGACAGCCACGUAGCUGACUCUGCCUGCAGUCCCACCUCUGUCCCACGGGCUCACUUUUCCCAUCACAUUCCCUAGUACACAGGAAAAGUUCCCAUUUUCUUCACCAAGCACUAGAAGAGGUUUCUAAUUAGCUCCCUAAUGGGAUGAUGACAGUCCUGUUCAGCAAAAUUUUAUUGUCAGCCUAUUUGAUUGAUUAUGUGAGUGAUUGAUCCCACCUACUUUGAAAAUGAAUUUGAGGAAACCAACAAAAAACACAGAUACAUUGAGACCCCAAAGCAACUCAUUCUGGGAGAAGGCAAUCAAUAAAUACAAAAGGCAGAAAAACAUUCUCAAAACAUAGUACAAAUUAAAGAAAGUUAUUGAAAAAACACAAAUGCGGUUCUGCUGUGACAAGCAGUCAUAGAAAAGGAACAACUGGAUGAAUGUCAUGGAUUAACAAUGGAAGCAUAUUAUUUAAUCAGGGGCAACUGACUUUUUCCCAUCCAGUGUCCGCUGUUAAGUAUAGCAUUGGUUAUGUCAUCAAUAUCCCUAAACCAAGAGCCUCAUCAUACAGUCCCAUCAAUGUUGUAUAAAAGACCUAGAUUUUCUGUGUAAAGGUAUUGCUUAGAUAUCCUUCAGUAAACCCCCCCAGAAUGUGUCAACCUAGGACAAAGCCGUAGAGAGACGACAAAAAUCAGGUUCCUGCUGUGCCCAAGUUCCC
rnacentral:lncRNA from 1 species